UUGAAGUCCAUCUACGUGCGAAGACAAAACAUCUUUUUACACCUGAAAAAUACCUGGAUACCACCUGUAACCAGGCGGAAGUCCUUCUGCCUUACAGGAAUCAUUCAGGUGAUCCAACAUCACCAAAGAACCAGACCCAGUUCAGUUAGAUGGAACAGAACCGGCCCGAGCAGAACCACAGAUUCAGAAUCUGGGUCAGGGUUCUGUGGAGGAUCCAGAAGCUUCUGGUCUGCUCUUUGUUUCUCAUUGUCAAUAAAGUUUUAUCUCCCAAAGCAGGAAGUGGGUGAGAUGAUGAGUCGGCGUCACGGGAUGAAAGCUGCUGAUGGAUCAUGACUCAGCAGGAAAACUGAAGACCCAGAUGUGAUCCAGAAGUUUUCCGUUCUGCUCCUUCCGGAUCAUCGACCAGCAAAAACCAAGACAGACAAGUUACAAGUUUUUAUUUUGCUUUAAAAGAUAAACUGAAUUUGAUCCUAAA